UACGUAGGUGGCAAGCGUUGUCCGGAUUUACCGGGCGUAAAGAGCGCGCAGGCGGUCGUUCAAGUCGCGUGUGAAAGCCCCCGGCUCAACUGGGGAGGGUCACGCGAUACUGAUCGACUCGAAGGCAGGAGAGGGUAGUGGAAUUCCCGGUGUAGUGGUGAAAUGCGUAGAUAUCGGGAGGAACACCGGUGGCGAAGGCGGGUCUCUGGGCCGAUACUGACGCUGAGGAGCGAAAGCGUGGGGAGCGAACAGG
rnacentral:rRNA from 1 species